CCGGCGAGUGGCGCACGGGUGAGUAACGCGUGGGGAUCUGCCUCGAAGUGGGGAAUAACCGCUGGAAACGGCGGCUAAUACCGCAUAAUGUCUUCGGACCAAAGGUGGCCUCUAUUUAUAAGCUAUCGCGUAAGGAUGAGCCCAAGUGGGAUUAGCUAGUUGGUAAGGUAAUGGCUUACCAAGGCGACGAUCCCUAGCUGGUCUUAGAGGAUGACCAGCCACACUGGAACUGAGACACGGUCCAGACUCC
rnacentral:rRNA from 1 species